GAACGCUAGCUACAGGCUUAACACAUGCAAGUCGAGGGGCAUCAGGAAGAAAGCUUGCUUUCUUUGCUGGCGACCGGCGCACGGGUGAGUAACACGUAUCCAACCUGCCCUUUACUCGGGGAUAGCCUUUCGAAAGAAAGAUUAAUACCCGAUGGCAUAAUGAUUCCGCAUGGUUUCAUUAUUAAAGGAUUCCGGUAAAGGAUGGGGAUGCGUUCCAUUAGGUUGUUGGUGAGGUAACGGCUCACCAAGCCUUCGAUGGAUAGGGGUUCUGAGAGGAAGGUCCCCCACAUUGGAACUGAGACACGGUCCAAACUCCUACGGGAGGCAGCAGUGAGGAAUAUUGGUCAAUGGGCGCUAGCCUGAACCAGCCAAGUAGCGUGAAGGAUGAAGGCUCUAUGGGUCGUAAACUUCUUUUAUAUAAGAAUAAAGUGCAGUAUGUAUACUGUUUUGUAUGUAUUAUAUGAAUAAGGAUCGGCUAACUCCGUGCCAGCAGCCGCGGUAAUACGGAGGAUCCGAGCGUUAUCCGGAUUUAUUGGGUUUAAAGGGAGCGUAGGUGGACUGGUAAGUCAGUUGUGAAAGUUUGCGGCUCAACCGUAAAAUUGCAGUUGAUACUGUCAGUCUUGAGUACAGUAGAGGUGGGCGGAAUUCGUGGUGUAGCGGUGAAAUGCUUAGAUAUCACGAAGAACUCCGAUUGCGAAGGCAGCUCACUGGACUGCAACUGACACUGAUGCUCGAAAGUGUGGGUAUCAAACAGGAUUAGAUACCCUGGUAGUCCACACAGUAAACGAUGAAUACUCGCUAUUUGCGAUAUACAGUAAGCGGCCAAGCGAAAGCAUUAAGUAUUCCACCUGGGGAGUACGCCGGCAACGGUGAAACUCAAAGGAAUUGACGGGGGCCCGCACAAGCGGAGGAACAUGUGGUUUAAUUCGAUGAUACGCGAGGAACCUUACCCGGGCUUAAAUUGCAGUGGAAUGAUGUGGAAACAUGUCAGUGAGCAAUCACCGCUGUGAAGGUGCUGCAUGGUUGUCGUCAGCUCGUGCCGUGAGGUGUCGGCUUAAGUGCCAUAACGAGCGCAACCCUUAUCUUUAGUUACUAACAGGUUAUGCUGAGGACUCUAGAGAGACUGCCGUCGUAAGAUGUGAGGAAGGUGGGGAUGACGUCAAAUCAGCACGGCCCUUACGUCCGGGGCUACACACGUGUUACAAUGGGGGGUACAGAAGGCAGCUAGCGGGUGACCGUAUGCUAACCCCAAAAGCCUCUCUCAGUUCGGAUCGAAGUCUGCAACCCGACUUCGUGAAGCUGGAUUCGCUAGUAAUCGCGCAUCAGCCACGGCGCGGUGAAUACGUUCCCGGGCCUUGUACACACCGCCCGUCAAGCCAUGGGAGCCGGGGGUACCUGAAGUACGUAACCGCAAGGAUCGUCCUAGGGUAAAACUGGUGACUGGGGCUAAGU
rnacentral:rRNA from 1 species